rnacentral:rRNA from 1 species
AGAGUUUGAUCAUGGCUCAGGAUGAACGCUAGCGGCAGGCCUAAUACAUGCAAGUCGAACGAGAUUGUUGUAGCAAUAUGACAUGAAAGUGGCGCACGGGUGCGUAACACGUAUGCAAUCUACCUCUAAUAGGGGCAUAGCUUCGAGAAAUCGGAAUUAAUACCCCAUAACAUAACGAAGUGGCAUCAUUUUGUUAUCAAACCUCCGGGGAUUAGAGAUGAGCAUGCGGAACAUUAGCUAGAUGGCGAGGUAACGGCUCACCAUGGCUACGAUGUUUAGGGGGUCUGAGAGGAUGAUCCCCCACACUGGUACUGAGAUACGGGCCAGACUCCUACGGGAGGCAGCAGUAGGGAAUAUUGGACAAUGGGUGAGAGCCUGAUCCAGCCAUGCCGCGUGCAGGAUGACGGCCUUCUGGGUUGUAAACUGCUUUUAUCUGGGGAUAAAAAGGCCUUGCGAGGCAAACUGAAGGUACCAGAUGAAUAAGCCACGGCUAACUACGUGCCAGCAGCCGCGGUAAUACGUAGGUGGCAAGCGUUGUCCGGAUUUAUUGGGUUUAAAGGGUGCGUAGGCGGUUUAUUAAGUCAGUGGUGAAAGACGAUAGCUUAACUAUCGAGGUGCCAUUGAUACUGAUGAACUUGAGUGCAGUCGAAGUAGGCGGAAUGGACGGUGUAGCGGUGAAAUGCAUAGAUAUCGUCCAGAACACCGAUAGUGAAGACAGCUUACUAGGCUGUAACUGACGCUGAGGCACGAAAGUGUGGGGAUCAAACAGGAUUAGAUACCCUGGUAGUCC